rnacentral:tRNA from 1 species
CCUUGGAUAGCUCAGUUGGCAGAGCACCAGGUUUCUAACCUGAGGGUCCAGGUUCCAAGUUCCUGUUCAGGCA